rnacentral:lncRNA from 1 species
CCGCUCGCGGCCCUCCCGCCUGGCUCUCGCCUCGGCCUGCGGCCGGGAUCCUCCGCCCGGGUCGCGCAGCGGAGGCCGAGGGCUGGGACGGGCGGCUGGGAAGUGGGAAAGGGAGCUCCUUUUGUCUUCUCUUCCCAUCCCCCAGGUUUGGGAAAGUUUUCCUUUUGGGAAAGCCCCUCUCUUCAGCCUGCUGGCGGGUGUCGGAUUGGUUAGCGACCACCGGCCCCCGCCUCCCCCAACAGGAUUCUCCUUUGGGCCACAGGUCUUCCGGAAGUUGCCAAACCCCGGUAGCGGCAGCGUCCGGCUGGGGGCUUUAUUAGGGGGCACCGGGGUCUGCUUUCCGACUCCCUUCCGACUCCGCGCCUGCGCAGGAAGCGAUUUGGGGAGUGUUGUGAAUUCCGAGGGCUCCACACUUAAGAGGUUGUACACUCACCUGUCUACCUGGACUCCAAUUUCCAUAUUUCCAGCCACUUGAGGACUGAGAGGUGGAUGAUAAACCCUGUCAUAGUGGAGCAAGUUCAGGUGUUUAACCGCUGUUAUGGGGGAUCUGCCUUUUCUCCCUCUUCUUUCUUACUUCCAUAAGUAUGUAUGUGCAGAGAUUGAAAAAUAACCUUGAGAGAGUCCAUCCAUCUAACUCCAGUUCAUUGGAAAUUUCUGCUUCUUUGAGACUGAGGUUAUAUUCCACUUCUUCUGACUACACCACCACCAUCAAUCUCCUUCUCUGAACUCUUGGAUCAUUACUUCAACCUGAAACAACUCAUCAGGCAGAAUAGUUGCCUACUGCCCCAACCCCACCAAAUGUUCCAGCACCUCUGAUAUUACCUCACAUGGCAAGAGGGCUUUGAAGAUGUGAUUGAGUCAAGGAUCUUGAAUGGGGAGAUUAUCCUGAAUUAUUCAGCUGGACCCAGUGUAAUCACAAAGGUUUUUCAAAGAUGGAAGAGAGGCAGAAGAGCCAGAAAAGGAUAUGUGACAAUGGAGUCAGUGUCAGAGUUGGAGUGACGUGAUGUGAGAAGGAUUCAACCUGCUGUUUCUGGCUUUGAGGAUGAAAGAAGG